rnacentral:rRNA from 1 species
AUUGAACGCUGGCGGCAGGCCUAACACAUGCAAGUCGAGCGAGCGGCGGACGGGUGAGUAAUGUCUGGGGAACUGCCUGAUGGAGGGGGAUAACUACUGGAAACGGUAGCUAAUACCGCAUACCAUCGGAUGUGCCCAGAUGGGAUUAGCUAGUAGGUGGGGUAACGGCUCACCUAGGCGACGAUCCCUAGCUGGUCUGAGAGGAUGACCAGCCACACUGGAACUGAGACACGGUCCAGACUCCUACGGGAGGCAGCAGUGGGGAAUAUUGCACAAUGGGCGCAAGCCUGAUGCAGCCAUGCCGCGUGUGUGAAGAAGGCCUUAGGGUUGUAAAGUACUUUCAGUGGGGAGGCGUUACCCGCAGAAGAAGCACCGGCUAACUCCGUGCCAGCAGCCGCGGUAAUAC